AAACCACCGGAAGUCCAGGUGCUUCAGAUCAACCCGCGGAAAAGGAACAGAUAUGGCAGAACCGGUGAAGCCUCCCCCCAAACGCAGACGAAUUCUGGAUCCCUCAGCUAUCGUUUCAGUGCCCAUCUACUCCAACCAGGUGAGCAACAGUUUGCAGCUGAAGGCACCGCCAUUCAGCGAGACAACGUCCACAGAGGAGGAAGUCGACGCAGACGACGGGUUUUGGGCCAAGUUUUCGUGUGAAACAAAGCGCCAUUCUCCUGAUGACUUGCAGAUCAGUGAUCCUGAGGAAGAGGUGGAGCCAAAAAGAGCCACACCAUUAAACGACACAGACUUGCUUCGCUCUCCGUCUCCUCCUCCUCCUCCAGAGAGUCCAGUCCAGAAACCCUCACGGAAAGCCAAACAGAAACUCAAUGAGAUUGAGCGCCGACUGCAGGCUGUGAACUCGCCGCUGUCCCCGGUGAAUGACCGGAAGCAGCGGCGUUGCAGGCGGUCGCCACGGUUACGGGACAACAUGGACGACGUCAUCGUUUUGAGUGAGACGGAGGACAGUGACGUCAUCAUCUCAAGUCCGGAGCAGUGUCUUCUCGGGUCUCCACUCAGGGGCACAGAGA
ensembl:lncRNA